AUUAAGGUCAAGACCAUUGCAGGUUUGGACGGCCAUGUUGUUUCUACAUUGUAUGUUUAAUAUGGUAAUAACUCGAUUGUUGUAUGUUGGCCUUUGCAAAACGAAACCUCAACAAAACAAAAUGUACCGUAGAUAAUGCAUGUCGAUGUCACAAUAUGGCAAAUGAGUUUAAAUCACUAAAUCUAAUCGUACUCGUUGUUUUGGUCUAUUCUUCUAUUUAAUUCCAAUAUACCAUAGAAAUUAUCAUUAGAAAGCUAAGCGUGUAUUUUCCACGGUUCUAUCACGUAUCAAAAGCGUGAUCUAAGGAGACUUUACUGUUUUCAAUGUAGCGGUUUCGAAAGAAGAUUCGAUACCUGCAAAUUAACAUUCGAAACCAGAUGGAAAUCUGGAAUUUUACUCUAUUUUGACCAAUCCAUGACAAGCGUACUUGUCUGUCUUAUGAUGUAGCUUAUACGAAGCGGAUCCUAACCAUUAUGUCGUGUACAACAGAUCAUGCCUCAACACAUUAAAUACUUUAUACUACCAGAUUGUACUGGUUUGAAAAGGUAUCAUGAAUAUUUCAGCUUCACCUAUGGAGAAGAUUAUUCAACAGUACGCUGUGCCUGUUGGUGUAUUCACCCUAUUGAUGGUUAUCACUUUACUUGUGGCUGUAAUCAGGAAAACAUGCUCAUGGAUUUCAAAGAAAAGGGAGAAGAAACCCCUACUAGUGAAGAUAGGACCAGUUUUAGAGAUGGCUAAAGCGUUUGACAGGGCAAGCAAGGACAAAUCACCAGUCAUCACAGGAAGACUACAGGGGAUGAAGCAGCGCAUACCGACAAGAACCUGAUGUAAAAUCUAGUGAAUCAUGAAAUAUUAUAUUCACUGGAAAUGUCCAUGUGUGUUGGAUACAGACAGGAAAUCAUUGGUAAAAAUGUGGCUCAAAUGUUAAAAA